GGCAUUGACCUGACCCCAACACUAGAUUCUCCUUUUCUUUCUACCGCUAAAGGAGAAAUUUUACGAUUAAUAGCAGGGCAUGCGUUUCUAGUUGCAGGGAGGAUGCCACACGGACAGAAUGGGAAAAUCCAUCAAGAAGCGUUCCUUGGUGAUCUCGGCACACGCAAGCUACUGCUUCUUCUUCCCUUCCCAAUGUGCCCCAAGAGCUAGUGAUUCUCGAGCUUACAAGAGCUAUCCACAGUAGAUGUCAAAUUUGGGCGUUGAUUUCUAAAUAUGAAAUGGUUUUGUGCCUUCCAUACUUGCCAAGAACUGAGGCUACGACGUCCAGAUCAGGUGAGUUAUCUCGACUUUCUGUCAGAUCUGCUAACCAAGCUUCUAUUCUUGAUAAUCCUUGUGAUGGAAUAUUUAUUUUGAGCUGUGGGUGUGCCCAGACUCUGUUUAUCCAUGGGCAUAAUAGGAAAAUGUGUUUGAUUGUUUAUGAGACUUCUUCAUUGCGCAGUGCGUAAAACAAAACAAGUACGAUCUUUCUUGAUAGACAUUUUCCUUGGUGGGUAUUUGGCAUAGGGAUCACAUAAAAAUUCUUACUUCAGGAACAGUUUUCAAGUUCCAAAUUCUUCUCCAUAGGCUGCGGGGCACUUGAUAGGAAGAUAAUGCUAAAUCUUGACUUAUGUUGUGUUCAAGUGCUCUUAUGCUAUUGUAUCCAUUCUUUGCAAAAUACUUGCCUCACUAAGUCCCUGUCCAUAUAAAUUGGUCGAUUGCUAUGUGGGGUCUAACUGGGAUUGAAAGAAUUUCAUUAACUAUUUGAGCAUGAAAGCGUUCCUUUUUUCUUUUUUUGGUCAAAAGGAAACAUUAUAUUCAUAUAAUCGGAAUAUUACAUUUUGCCGCAAGGGCAUCAGCAUACACAAGAUCCAUCAAAAGGUAGGGUGGGAAGAUAUUCCAAUUUUGGGCCAAAGUUUCUACUCGAUGGGCCUUAGCGGCCCAGUCGGCUACUGUAUUGGCUUCUCUUCGACACAACUGCAUUGUCAAAUUAGGGAAAAGGGACAUCGAAUCGACAGCUUCCGUGAGCAAGGAAAGGAGUUCCCAUGGCGGCGAUCUCCCACCUGUGACGGCGUCGACAACGGUGCUACAGUCGGAUUCAAUCACGAGUCGUGCCUGAUGCAGACCUUGUCAUAGCAAAUGUUGGAUUGUGAAAGAGAAGGCCUGGAACUCCGCAACCAGAGCUUAUGCGGCUGGAAAUCUGCUGGUAUAGAUAUCGGUGCCCAGAUUGGGUGGUCGCCAGAGGUGGGUAGGGAUCUGGUUUGCAAUAGCUUGUCUCGAAGAGGAAGGAGAAGAGAUCUGGUAAAGUCGAGUCUCUAUCACAGUAGCCUCUACUGCAAGGGAUGGAUCCAGCUGUUGAUUGCGGAAUAUGAAACCAUUCCGCAUUUUCCAGAUCUGCCAACAAAUGUUCACUAUUACUUCCAAAGAAGGUGAGUUGUUUGUCGAUACAAUUUUUGUUGCUAACCAUGCGUCUAUUCGAUGGAUUUGGUGAGGUUGUAUGUCGAUGUUGAUUUGUGGAUGAGCCCAUAUUGGUCGAGUCCAUGAACAAAGUAGGAACAGAUGCUCCAAAGAUUCUGGGGUUUGCUGGUGACAUAGCUAACAGUAGGGAUCGGUUAUGAUUUGUCAACGAAACAAAUUUUCUUUGGAAGCUACUUCAUUUUGACA